rnacentral:lncRNA from 1 species
GAGCAGCUCACAGAGGGACUCUGCCUGGUCUACAAAGUCAGCAAAGGAGUCCAUUCCUUGGCAUUUCCAGGGGCUAGCACUGCAGAGUCGAGGAUGACACUUUUUAUUCUAAAGAGGCCCACGUGAGAAGUAGCCACAACUUGUUUGCCCUCUAAGGAGCCAGAGGAAGUCUUGUCCGGGACUGAGGGCUUGGCCAGAGCCAGUCCCUGCGAACUGCCCGGCGCGUCCUGCCUUGCCAGACCCUCUGCCCGGGGUCAUCCGCAGCCCGCGGGCGCCAUCGGCUCCAGGCACACAUCACCCGUGCUGGAACCCCAGCGUGUGGAGACCGGAGGCCAAAGAAACGAAACUCCCCACGCUGCGCCGUGGAGAAUAAUCACUGCCUUUUCAGAGGCCGACUUCGCCC